rnacentral:rRNA from 1 species
GUGGGGAAUAUUGGACAAUGGGCGAAAGCCUGAUCCAGCCAUGCCGCGUGUGUGAAGAAGGUCUUCGGAUUGUAAAGCACUUUAAGUUGGGAGGAAGGGCAGUAAGUUAAUACCUUGCUGUUUUGACGUUACCGACAGAAUAAGCACCGGCUAACUUCGUGCCAGCAGCCGCGGUAAUACGAAGGGUGCAAGCGUUAAUCGGAAUUACUGGGCGUAAAGCGUGCGCAGGCGGCUUUGUAAGACGGAUGUGAAAGCCCCGGGCUCAACCUGGGAAGUGCAUUCGUGACUGCAAGGCUAGAGUGUGUCAGAGGGAGGUGGAAUUUCCUGUGUAGCGGUGAAAUGCGUAGAUAUAGGAAGGAACACCAGUGGCGAAGGCGACUACCUGGACUGAUACUGACACUGAGGUGCGAAAGCGUGGGGAGCAAACAGGAUUAGAAACCCGUGUAGUCC